ensembl:lncRNA
CCAACAGGAUGGAUGUGUGGCAAAAGCUUGGACCUGGCUAUGAUCCUUGACUUCUGGGGGAGGGGAACCUGGUGAGAUGGUGACGAGAGUAAAGGGUCAUGAAGAACUGGACUCCCUGAUCUCUCUCCUCAUGGCAGUGACCCAUCGCCAGCCCCCUGGACAAUCGGGUACAAGAGAAAAGGUAACAUUAAAGAGUCAAGACAGGACCAGACGGUGGAGUGGCUGACCUGUAUUUGACAAAUCCCUGGCUU